GUUGCUAAGUAUUUUCUACCAUGAAAAAGGAAAAUGAUGAGACUUACAUGAGGUUACUGUUAAAAGAAAAAAAGGUUCUUGCACAUGUAGUGUUACCACCAUGAAUAAUACCUAGUUGAGAAUUGAUAUCUACCACUGAAAAUCAUUUCCAUAUUCAUAGUACUCGCACCAUACUGUCAGCUGAAUGCCAGGGAAACAUUCUUUGAAGGCCACCUAUUAUACAGGUUCGUCUGAUUACAGUCAUCAUCACUGAAAUCUUCCU
rnacentral:misc_RNA from 1 species